UUUUCACUUCUUGCAAAAGUUUACACAAACAAACACCUCAAGGUCCUGUGCGACCAAAAAGAUAUCUUCCUCAAAAGCAGAUACACAACACCAGUAAAAAAACAGAACUACGCACUGCAUAAAUACCAGGAAAGCAGGACAGAGACAAGGAGUUCUGAGCUGCUUUUCAAUCAAAACAAGGAUUAUUGAAUAUAUAAUUGUGUAGCUACGGUAGUCGCCCAUAAUUCAAGAAGAAGAAGAAGAAGAAGAAGAAGAAGAAGAAGAAGAUUGUAUAACUUCCAUGAUCCACCAGAUGCCACCAAAUGUUGAUUAUUGACUCAAGCAAUUUCAUGCUUUCUUUCUG
rnacentral:lncRNA from 1 species